rnacentral:rRNA from 1 species
GAUGAACGCUGGCGGCGUGCUUAACACAUGCAAGUCGAACGAGGAAGCCCAGCUUGCUGGGUGGAUUAGUGGCGAACGGGUGAGUAACACUUGAGUAACCUGCCCUUUACUCUGGGAUAAGCCUGGGAAACCGGGUCUAAUACCGGAUAGGAGCGCCUACCGCAGGGUGGGUGGUGGAAAGAUUUAUCGGUUGUGGAUGGACUCGCGGCCUAUCAGCUUGUUGGUGAGGUAUUGGAUCACCAAGGCGACGACGGGUAGCCGGCCUGAGAGGGGGACCGGCCACAGUGGGACUGAGACACGGCCCAGACUCCUACGGGAGGCAGCAGUGGGGAAUAUUGCACAAUGGGCGAAAGCCUGAUGCAGCGACGCCGCGUGAGGGAUGACGGCCUUCGGGUUGUAAACCUCUUUCAGUAGGGAAGAAGCGAAAGUGACGGUACCUGCAGAAGAAGCACCGGCUAACUACGUG